UACUUUUUCUACCAGAAUACUUCGAUAUUCAAGUAUAGCACCUUUUCUGAAAGGAAAUGCUCACUAGGUGGUAUUUUAAAGAGAUUAUUUUUGAAAUUCUCAUUAAUAUUCGAGAUGAUGGGGAAAAUCUGGUUCUUUAGAUUAAAACAGAUUGAAAGAUUAAAACUAAGAUUGUCAUUGACAACUGUUUUUAAUUAUUUUUUGUUAUUCUUAAUUAUUUUUA